UGGCGCCUACGGGGGGCAGCAGUGGGGGAUAUUGGACAAUGGGGGAAACCCUGAUCCAGCGAUGCCGCGUGAGGGAAGAAGGUUUUCGGAUUGUAAACCUCUGUGGACAGGGACGAUAAUGACGGUACCUGUCAAGAAAGCCACGGCUAACUACGUGCCAGCAGCCGCGGUAAUACGGAGGUGGCGAGCGUUGUCCGGAAUUACUGGGUGUAAAGGGAGAGUGGGCGGGAAGGCAAGGCAGAAGGGAAAAUUAUGGGGUCAACCCAUA
rnacentral:rRNA from 1 species